GGUUCUACUCUGUUGUUCCCGCAAGUGGGGUUCAUUAUUUUCUUGUUCUAAGCUUUCAGUGAAAAGGGUAUUCUUAUAAGGUUUUCUAGCUUUCUGGGAUUUUUUUUACUUGGAUAAUGAAGUUGCUUUUGCAAAGGGGAAAGAAAAGCAAAAUCCUGUUCAGUUCAGGAGGGACAAUCUAGAGGCUUUGUGUUUUCUGGGUUUCUGGGAUGUAUCUUUCAAAGGGUUGCAGGUGUGAAGUUGUUCUCUUUUUGUGGUUUUCCUGCUAUUUUCUAUUGGCUGCUAGUCAGGUCACUGACCCCACAGAAGUUGAGGCAUUGAGAACCAUAAAGAGAAGU